AUUGAACGCUGGCGGCAUGCUUUACACAUGCAAGUCGAACGGCAGCGCGGGCUUCGGCCUGGCGGCGAGUGGCGAACGGGUGAGUAAUGCAUCGGAACGUGCCCAGUAGUGGGGGAUAGCCCGGCGAAAGCCGGAUUAAUACCGCAUACGACCUGAGGGUGAAAGCGGGGGACCGAAAGGCCUCGCGCUAUUGGAGCGGCCGAUGUCGGAUUAGCUAGUUGGUGGGGUAAAGGCUUACCAAGGCGACGAUCCGUAGCUGGUCUGAGAGGACGACCAGCCACAGGGGGACGGAGAGAGGGCCGCGCCUCCGGGGGGAGGCGGCAGGGGGGAAUUGGGGAAAGUGGGGGCAACCGUGACCCAGCCAGGCGGCGGGGGGGAAGAGGGCGUUGGGGUGGAAAACGGGUUUUGUUGGGGAAGAAAUCUUGGGGGCUAAGCCCCGGGGGGGGUGACGGUACCGGAAAAAAAAGCACCGGCUAACUACGUG
rnacentral:rRNA from 1 species